rnacentral:misc_RNA from 1 species
AAGUCGUAACAAGGUUUCCGUAGGUGAACCUGCGGAAGGAUCAUUACCAAACAGAUAACUCCUGAGGGAUUCGAGCGACCUCCAAGUUUGGGGGAAGAUCGUCUUUCAGACCAAAGAGUUACAAACACCUAUGUCAACCGUUAACCGUCUCUGGUAGCUUAGUCCGCUGCCGGCAAGUUUGCCCGGUAGUUUCUGGGCGUCCCAUCGCGCUCUCUACCCCCCCAGUCUGUGGACUGGGUGCUGGGAUAAGCGAGAGAGCUUUGGGGGGCUACCAUCGGCCGAAGAAGAAAGCACAUUUGAUGCGAUCCUCUUGGUCGGAAAAUCAAUCACCCCAAAAGAUCCUGUCUCGACUGAUGUUAUGUAAAGUUUGCUUUUCACAAGCAACUGAAAAUAAACCACAACUUUUGGCAACGGAUCUCUUGGCUCUC